rnacentral:lncRNA from 12 species
GGGGGGGGGGGGGGGGGGGGGGGGGGGGGGGGGGGGGGGGGGGGGGGGGGGGGGGGGGGGGGGGGGGGGGCACCAGGGGACAUCGCUGGUGCCACUUGUCCCCUCCCCCCGCACGGGGUUUGAGACGAAUUCAGGAAAUUUUUUAAAAUUUUGGAUUAAAAUUGUCCCCAAAUCCUGAUGGGAAUUUUUGGGGACGUUUUGUGGACAGGGAAAUCCCCCUGAGGGACCCCAUUCCCAGUUCAUCCCAGUUCCAUCCCAGUUCAUCCCAGUCCAUCCUAGUCCAAUCCCAGUCCAUCCCAGUCUACCCCAGUCCAUCCCAGUCCAUCCCAGCCCAUCGCAGUCCAAUCCCAGUUCCCCCCAGUUCAUUCCAGUCCAUUCCCAGUCUACCCCAGUUUAUCCCAGUUCUUCCCAGUCCCUCCCAGUUCAUCCCAGUUCAGGCUCCGGGCCCAGUUCAUACCAGUUCAUCCCAAUUCAGGCUCCGGGCCCAGUUCAUCCCAGUUCAGGGCUACUCAUCCCAGUUCAUCCCUGUCCAUCCCAGUUCAGGGCUCUGGUCCCAGUUCAGGCUCUGGUCCAAGUCCACCCCAUUCGCAGUACAUCCCAGUUCCCAUUUCCCAGCUCCCAGUCCGUCCCGGUUCUCAAUUCCCAGUUCCUUCUACUCCCUCCCAGUCCCUCCCAGUCCAUCCCGGUCCAUCCCAGUUCCCAUCCCAGUCCCUCCCACUUCCCAAUUCCCAGUCCAUCCCAGUUCCCAUCCCAGUCCCUCCCACUUCCCAAUUCCCAGUCCAUCCCAGUUCCCAUCCCAGUCCCUCCCACUUCCCAAUUCCCAGUCCAUCCCAGUUCCCAUCCCAGUCCCUCCCACUUCCCAAUUCCCAGUCCAUCCCAGUUCCCAUCCCAGUCCCUCCCACUUCCCAAUUCCCAGUCCAUCCCAGUUCCCAUCCCAGUCCCUCCCACUUCCCAAUUCCCAGUCCAUCCCAGUUCCCAUCCCAGUCCCUCCCACUUCCCAAUUCCCAGUCCAUCCCAGUUCCCAUCCCAGUCCCUCCCACUUCCCAAUUCCCAGUCCAUCCCAGUUCCCAUCCCAGUCCCUCCCACUUCCCAAUUCCCAGUCCAUCCCAGUUCCCAUCCCAGUCCCUCCCACUUCCCAAUUCCCAGUCCAUCCCAGUUCCCAUCCCAGUCCCUCCCACUUCCCAAUUCCCAGUCCAUCCCAGUUCCCAUCCCAGUCCCUCCCACUUCCCAAUUCCCAGUCCAUCCCAGUUCCCAUCCCAGUCCCUCCCACUUCCCAAUUCCCAGUCCAUCCCAGUUCCCAUCCCAGUCCCUCCCACUUCCCAAUUCCCAGUCCAUCCCAGUUCCCAUCCCAGUCCCUCCCACUUCCCAAUUCCCAGUCCAUCCCAGUUCCCAUCCCAGUCCCUCCCACUUCCCAAUUCCCAGUCCAUCCCAGUCCCUCCCAGUCCCUCCCAGUUCCCAAUUCCCAGUCCAUCCCAGUCCAUCCCAGUUCCCUCCCAGUGCCACCGCCCCAGAAUCCCGACACCAAUGUCACCACCCCUGCGUCACCAGUUCAAACCCAGUGUCCCCAGUCCUGUCCAAGUGCCACCGUCCCAGUGCUCCCAGUGCCAGCCCAGUGUCACCGCCCCAUUGUCCCCGUAUCAGUGUCACCAUCCCAGUGUCACCAGUUCCCUCCCAGCUGUCCCAGUGUCACCAGUGCCACCAUUGGGACCAGCCCAGUGUCCCCAGUUUCACCCCAGUGUCACCAGCCCAGUGCCACCAGCUCUGUCCCAGUGUCCCCAUACCAAUGUCACCAUCCCAGUGUCCCCAGUUCAAUCCCAGUGUCCCCCAUCCCGUCCCAGUGUUCCUGUCCCAGUGCUCCCACUUCCAUCCCAGCGUUCCCCGUUUCAUCCCAGUGCCACCAACCCAGUGCCACCAGUUCCCUCCCAGUGUCACCAGUCCAGUGCCACCGGUGUCCCCCAUGGCACCAGUCCAGUGUCCCCAGUGCCAUCCCAGUGCCACCACUCCAGUGUCCCCAGUCCUGUCCCAGUGUCCCUGUCCCAGUGCUCCCAGCAGCGUGUGUCCUAGUGUCCCCAGUCCUGUCCCAGUGCCACUAUCCCAGUGCUCCCAGUUGUGUCCCAGUGUCCCCAGUCACCAAACCAGUGUCACCAGUUCCCUCCCAGUGUCCCCAGUUCUGUCCCACUGUCACCAUCCCAGCGCUCCCAGUUCCCUCCCAGUGCUCCCAGUGCCAGCUCAGUGUCCCCCAUCCUGUACCAGAGUCACCAGUGCCCUGGUGUCCCCCAUCCUGUCCCAGUGUCACCAGUGCCAGCACUGGGACCAGCCCAGUGUCCCCAGUUUCACUCCAGUGUCACCAUCCCAGUGCCACCAGUCCUGUCCCAGUGUCCCCAUCCCAGUUCCAUCCCAGUGCCACAUCCCCACUGUCCCCACACCAAUGUCACCAUCCCAGUGUCCCCAGUUCUAUCCCAGUGCCACCAGUUCUGCCCCCGUGUCACCACCCCAGUGCCACCAGCCCAGUGUCACCAACCCAGUUCCAUCCCAGUGUUCCCAUCCCAGUGAUCCCAGUUCCCUCCCAGUGUCCCCAGUCACAUCCCAGAGUCACCACCCCAAUGUCACCAGCCCAGUGCUCCCAGUUCCAUCCCAGUGCUCCCAAUGUCACCAGCCCAGUGCUCCCAGUUCCAUCCCCGUGCUCCCAGUUCCAUCCCAGUGCUCCCAGUGUCACCAGCCCAGUGCUCCCAGUUCUAUCCCAGUGCUCCCAGUUCCAUCCCAAUGCUCCCAGUGUCACCAUCCCAGUGCUCCCAGUCCCGUCCCAGUGCCACCACCCCAUUCUCCCCAUACCAAUGUCACCAUCCCAAUGUCACCAAACCAGUUCCCCCCAGUGUCCCCAUUCCCAGUCCCGUCCCAGUGCCUCCGCCCCAUUCUCCCCAUACCAAUGUCACCAUCCCAAUGUCACCAAACCAGUUCCCCCCAGUGUCCCCAGUCCUGUCCCAGUGUCACCACCCCAGUGUCACCAGUCCUGUCCCAGUGCUCCCAGUUCCAUCCCAGUGUCCCAGUCUCGGGAUAGGAGAAGGUCUCUACUGGUCGGAACCGGUCCAUACCGGUUUAUACUGGUGCAUACUGGUUUAUACUGGUUUAUACUGGUCUGAACUGUUUCAUACUGGUCGGUUCAGUGGGAUGUCCCUACUGCUCUGUAGAUAUUCAUACUGGUCUAUACUGGUCCAAACUAGUCUAUACUGGUCCAUACUGGUCUCUACUGGUCUGUAGUGCUUCCCACUGGUCCACACUGCUCUAUACUGGUCUACACUGGUCUGUACAGGUUUAUACUGGUUAUACUGCUUUAUACUGGUUUAUACUGGUCCAUACUGCUCUAUACUGGUUUAUACUGGUCUGUACAGGUUUUUACUGGUUAUACUGCUUUAUACUGGUCUAUACAGACCCAUACCGGUUAUACAUUUAUACUGGUCCAUACUGGUUAUACUGGUCUAUACUGGUCUAUAUAGAUCCAUACUGGUUUAUACUGGUUUAUACUGGUUUAUACUGGUCCGUACUGGUCUAUACUGGCUUACACUGGCCUGUACUGGUCCAUACUGGUUGAUACUCACGCAGAGCCCCACACAGCACCAUCAGCCCCAGUGCCAGCCCGUGCCUGGCCCAGAGCCCAGCUCACCCAAACUGGUCCAUACUGGUCCAUACGGGUCUAUAUUGGUCUAUACUGGAUUAUACUGGUCUAUACUGGUCUUUACUGGUCUAUAACGGUCUAUACUAGUCUAUACUGCUCCAUAUUGGUUGAUACUGGUUCACACUGCUCUAUACUGGUUUAUACUUCUUAUACUGGUCUAUACUGGAAUACACAGGUGUAUACUGGUCCAUACUGGUCUAUACUGGACUAUACUGGUCUUUACUGGUGUAUACUGGUUUAUACUGGUCUGUGCUGCUCCAUACUGGUUUAUACUGGUCUACUGGUCCAUACUGGUUUAUACUGGUCUGUACUGGUCUAUACUGGUCUAUACUACUCCAUACUGGUUUAUACUGGUCUACUGGUCCAUACUGGUUUAUACUGGUCUGUACUGGUCUAUACUGGUCUAUACUACUCCAUACUGGUUUAUACUGGUCUACUGGUCCAUACUGGUUUAUACUGGUCUGUACUGGUCCAUAUUGGUUUAUACUGCUUCAUACUAGUUUAUACUGGUCCAUACUGGUUUAUACUGGUCUGCACUGGUCCAUACUGGUCCAUACUGAUCCAUACUGGUUUAUACUGGUCUAUACUGGUUUUUACUGGUCUGUGCUGGUCUAUACUGGUUUAUAAUGGUUCAUACUGGUCCAUACUGGUCUAUACUGGUCCAUACUGGUCUAUACUGCUCCAUACUGGUCCGUACUGGUUCAUACUGGUCUAUACUGGUUUAUACUGGUAUAGACUGGUUUAUACAGGUCUGUGCUGGUCUAUACUCGUCUAUACUGGUCCAUACUGGUCUAUACUGGUCUAUACUGGUCCAUACUGGUUAUACUGGUCUACACUGGUUUAUACUGGUCCAUACUGGUUAUACUGAUCUAUACUGUUCUAUACUGGUCCAUACUGGUUUAUACUGGCUUAUUGGUCCAUAUGGA